rnacentral:rRNA from 2 species
AACGAAGUGAAUUGAAAUAUCUUAGUAACUUUAGGAAAAGAAAUCAAACGAGAUUGUUAUUUGGUGCAAACUAAAUAACAAGAGCCUAUUAACAAAACUUGUUAAAGUAAAAUGGAUUAAAAUCUGUUUGAAUAUAGGGGAACCUUCCUCUAAGGCUAAAUAUGAUAUAUAAGCGAUAGUGAAAAGUACCGUGAGGUAAAAUUUGAAAUAGUAGUUUUAUAAGCAGCUCGAGUGAAAAUUUAAAUAAGUAAUAAGAGUGUACCUUUUGCAUAAUGGGUCAGCAAGUUAAUUUUAGAUGCAAGCAAUGAUUUCGUGCGCUUUGCGCAUGGAACUAGCUUAGAUAAACCAAUUAUGAGAAAAUGAAUAAGUAUCUAGAAUUAGACCCGAAGGCUAGUGAUCUUACCAUGGUCAGGAUUAUAAAAGUCCGAACGGGUUAUCGUUGUAUAGAUAUCCGAAGAAUUGUGGUAAGUUAGUGAAAGACAAAACUGACUAGUAUAGCUGGUUUUCCGCGAAACCUAUAUGAGUAGGUAAUUUAACUAACAUCUUAGCAGGUACAGAACUGUGAUCUCGGACAAUAUCUUUUGAUUUUGUCAACAUCGGGGGGUUGUAGUGACUUUACCGGAGAGUAUUUGCACUCGGAAUGGCAAAGAUGAAUGUUGAAUAAUCGGACAUAGUGCGAUAAGGUUGUAUGUCUAAAGGGAAACAGCCCAGAACAAGAGUUAAGGUUCCAAAAUUAUUGUUGAGUGAAAUUAAGGAUGUUUUUUUUAAAAACAAUCAGGAAAUAGGCUUAGAAGCGGCCAUUUUUUGAAGACCUCGUAACAGAGCACUGAUUAAUUAAAUUUAGAAAAAAACACCGAAAAUUUAACGGAUCUAAACAAUAUACCGAAACCUUGUACACAUAUUUAUAAUAUUAAUAUUGUAUAUGUGGGGUAGCGGAACAUUGGAUAAAUAUUAAUUAUUAUUUCUUCUAAGAAGUAAUAAGUAUGGAUUAUUAUUAAAAAUAUUUAUUUAUUAAAGAUAUUUAUGUAAUAUUAUUAUACUUAAAAGGUAUAAUGUUUAGAUGAAUAUAUAGAUAGAUUAUAUCUGUCUUUAUUAUUAAUAUAAUCCAUCGAUAUAAUCCAAGAGAGAAUGCUGACAUGAGUAACGAAAAAGGAAUAUCCUCGCCUUAAGCUUAUGGUAUUAUAUUUAAUUUUCGGUAUCUAAAAGUAUUAAUCAAAAGGUAAUUUUGAUGAUAUUUAUAUAUAAAUACUUAAAAAUAAAAAACAAAACCUUUAACAAGUAAUAAAGGUUCUGGAAAAAUUUUUAUUUUUAUUAAGUGAAGUAUAAUGCAAUAUAGGUAUAUUAUAAUUUAUAUAAUUUUCUUGUUACAAGUUUUCAAGAUUGUAUAGAUUUUAUCUAUAUUAAAUAUAUUUUCUUUUUUAUACUAUUGUAUAAGUAAGGUUUAUAUAUACCGUACCUAGAUACUAUCACAAGUAAGCAAGUAGAGAAUACAAAGGCGUUUGAGUGAACAAUCAUUAAGGAACUCGGCAAAUUGACUACCGUAACUUCGGGAUAAGGAGGGCCAUUAUGAUUAGUUUAACAUAUCUUAUGAUAUGAUUUAAUUAAACUAAUCAUAAGAGGAAACAUGAAAUAAUGUUGUACGACUGUUUAAUAAAAACACAGCACUCUGCAAAGAUAAAAUAUCAAAGUAUUGAGUGUGAUGUCUGCCCAAUGUCGGCUGGGUAACGGAUUUACCUUGGUUUUUAACUGAGGUUUUGAAGGAUACCCCGAUUAAUGGCGGCCUUACCUAUGAGGGUCCUAAGGUAGCGAAAUACCUUGGCCGUUAAAUGCGGUCCUGCAUGAAUGACUUAACGAUACAACAGCUGUCUCGAUGAUUGUCUCAGUGAAAUUGGAAUAGCAGUGCAGAUACUGUUUACCUCUAGAUAGACGAGAAGACCCUAUGCAGCUUUACUGUUACUAAUUGCAAGAGUGGAAAUUUAGGAUGAUUUCGAGUGUAUAAGGUAGUUGUUUGAUAACAAUGAAACACCUUUAUUCGUUUCCUACUAUAUGCUCUUGAGGAUUGGGAGGCAGUUUAUGCGGGGCACAGAUCCCACAAAAAGUACCUGGGUAUAUCCAAAGUUCAUUUUGUAAAUUUGUAAAUUUCUUUACAAAUAUUUUAAUUUGUUAUAAUUAUAUUCAUAAUUAUACAGUUAUUGUUAGAUUAAGUUCAAUAUUUAUUUUUUAUUUAAGUAAGAUUUUAACUAUAUGGUGAAUAGAUGUAUUUUAAACUUUACCCGGGGAGGGAGUGAUCCAACUCCGGGAUAUUUAAAAGUUUUUUCUCAUAUUAAUAUUGUAUUUUAUCUUUAUUAAUAUGAUAAUUAAUUAUACUUUAAAAGUUUAAUGGCUAAAUCUUGCUUUACUGUUUGACCUACAAGUCUAUCAGUCGCGUAAGCGGGGCAUAUGAUCACAAGAUGCAUAAAGGAAAGGUCUUGGAUUAUAGAAAAAGUUACGCUAGGGAUAACAGGCUAAUUUGCGCAAGAGAGUACAAAUUGAGUGCGCGGUUUGGCACCUCGAUGUCGGCUUAGCUCAUCCACAUGAAUGCAAAAAUCAUGAAGGGUUCGACUGUUCGUCGAUUAAAGAGCUACAUGAGCUGGGUUUAAUACGUCGUGAGACAGUAUGGUUUCUAUCUUCUAGAGGGAAUUAAAGUAGAAUAAAGAUAGCCCCUUCGUACGAAAGGAGUUGGGUAUAUUGACCUAUGGUUUACCUGUUGUUUAUGUUAUAUAUUAUUAUACAUAAUAUAUCAUUUACUUAUACUUAAGUAAAUUGUUCACAUAGGCAUGGCAGGAAGGCUACGUCAGUUAAAGAUAAGUGCUGAAAGCAUUUAAGCGCGAAGCUUACUUUAGGAUACUUUUAAACGUAGUAGAACACUACGA